CUGCUGCUACAUAUAUAGGGCUUCACAUAAAAUGAUAUUUGAUAUUGAUAAUGAUAUUUUAUGUGAAGCCCUAUAUAUGUAGCAGCAGGUUCACUG